UUUAUAGCUUAAAUAAAACAAAUUAUAAAUAAAAUAUGUUUAAGCUCAUAUAAGUUCCAGAAAAUUAUAGAGUCUGAUAUGAGAAGCUCAAAUCGAAUGGCACAGUGCAUACAACCCUGCGUAGAGUAUUUUAAGUAAAAGCAAUGAAGGUGGGGGCUGUCGAGUAGGCGGCACUCAGAGGCUGUAGUGCAAUAAGUCAAGUUAUCAAAGUUAAUAAUUCUUAAUGUUAGUGCAUAAAUAAGACAAGGGCUAUAAGGACACGCAGACGGACACAAGAAGGAGAGGGAGAAAGAGAGAGAAAGAGUGAGAGAGACAGCGAGACAAACGACAUGUAACUGGCAGUGCCCAUAAAAAUGAAAAAGAACCGAUGCCAGGCCAAAAAGAAAAGAAAAGAACGGCAAAGAAAAAGAGCCGGCUAAUUUGCAUAAAGAAAUCGGCUAGCGGCAAACGAGGGGCGAUGUGUGUGCAGCGAGACGGCAAAUAUGAAACUCUCGCAAGUGUUUAUGCUGACAUCGCGACAAAAAAGAAAAUACACACACAUCUGUGUUUAUACAACUGUUUGCCUUUAUUUGGCAAGCCUUUGUGGCUAAUAGCGCACACUGUUUGCUUUAAGCAGGAAAGCAUAAAUGCCACAAGAACCGAGCAAUAAAGCGCACAAUCAUUUCA